rnacentral:rRNA from 2 species
AGGACGAACGCUGGCGGCGUGCCUAAUACAUGCAAGUCGAACGAACUCUGGUAUUGAUUGGUGCUUGCAUCAUGAUUUACAUUUGAGUGAGUGGCGAACUGGUGAGUAACACGUGGGAAACCUGCCCAGAAGCGGGGGAUAACACCUGGAAACAGAUGCUAAUACCGCAUAACAACUUGGACCGCAUGGUCCGAGUUUGAAAGAUGGCUUCGGCUAUCACUUUUGGAUGGUCCCGCGGCGUAUUAGCUAGAUGGUGGGGUAACGGCUCACCAUGGCAAUGAUACGUAGCCGACCUGAGAGGGUAAUCGGCCACAUUGGGACUGAGACACGGCCCAAACUCCUACGGGAGGCAGCAGUAGGGAAUCUUCCACAAUGGACGAAAGUCUGAUGGAGCAACGCCGCGUGAGUGAAGAAGGGUUUCGGCUCGUAAAACUCUGUUGUUAAAGAAGAACAUAUCUGAGAGUAACUGUUCAGGUAUUGACGGUAUUUAACCAGAAAGCCACGGCUAACUACGUGCCAGCAGCCGCGGUAAUACGUAGGUGGCAAGCGUUGUCCGGAUUUAUUGGGCGUAAAGCGAGCGCAGGCGGUUUUUUAAGUCUGAUGUGAAAGCCUUCGGCUCAACCGAAGAAGUGCAUCGGAAACUGGGAAACUUGAGUGCAGAAGAGGACAGUGGAACUCCAUGUGUAGCGGUGAAAUGCGUAGAUAUAUGGAAGAACACCAGUGGCGAAGGCGGCUGUCUGGUCUGUAACUGACGCUGAGGCUCGAAAGUAUGGGUAGCAAACAGGAUUAGAUACCCUGGUAGUCCAUACCGUAAACGAUGAAUGCUAAGUGUUGGAGGGUUUCCGCCCUUCAGUGCUGCAGCUAACGCAUUAAGCAUUCCGCCUGGGGAGUACGGCCGCAAGGCUGAAACUCAAAGGAAUUGACGGGGGCCCGCACAAGCGGUGGAGCAUGUGGUUUAAUUCGAAGCUACGCGAAGAACCUUACCAGGUCUUGACAUACUAUGCAAAUCUAAGAGAUUAGACGUUCCCUUCGGGGACAUGGAUACAGGUGGUGCAUGGUUGUCGUCAGCUCGUGUCGUGAGAUGUUGGGUUAAGUCCCGCAACGAGCGCAACCCUUAUUAUCAGUUGCCAGCAUUAAGUUGGGCACUCUGGUGAGACUGCCGGUGACAAACCGGAGGAAGGUGGGGAUGACGUCAAAUCAUCAUGCCCCUUAUGACCUGGGCUACACACGUGCUACAAUGGAUGGUACAACGAGUUGCGAACUCGCGAGAGUAAGCUAAUCUCUUAAAGCCAUUCUCAGUUCGGAUUGUAGGCUGCAACUCGCCUACAUGAAGUCGGAAUCGCUAGUAAUCGCGGAUCAGCAUGCCGCGGUGAAUACGUUCCCGGGCCUUGUACACACCGCCCGUCACACCAUGAGAGUUUGUAACACCCAAAGUCGGUGGGGUAACCUUUUAGGAACCAGCCGCCUAAGGUGGGACAGAUGAUUAGGGUGAAGUCG